rnacentral:rRNA from 1 species
GACAGAGGGCGCAAACGUUGUUCGGAUUUACUGGGCGUAAAGCGUGUGUAGGCGGCUUGGCAAGUUGGAUGUGAAAGCCCACGGCUCAACCGUGGAAGCGCAUCCAAAACUGCUUCGCUCGAGUCUCGGAGAGGAAGGUGGAAUGCUUGGUGUAGAGGUGAAAUUCGUAGAUAUCAAGCAGAACACCUGCGGCGAAGGCGGCCUUCUGGACGAUGACUGACGCUGAGACACGAAAGCGUGGGGAGCAAACAGG